CCCUAUGCACGGCAGCAGGCGAGAACUUUGCAUGUGCGAAGCACGACAAGGUUAAUCCGAGUGGUUUCUGCUAAAGAAACCUUUUGCUAGUCCUAGAAACACUAGUGAAUAAGGGGUGGGCAAGUUCUGGUGUCAGCCGCCGCGGUAAAACCAGCACCUCAAGUGGUCAGGAUGAUUAUUGGGCCUAAAGCAUCCGUAGCUCGUUUUGUAAGUUUUCGGUUAAAUCCAUACGCUUAACGUAUGGGCUGCCGGGAAUACUGCAUAACUAGGAAGUGGGAGAGGUAGACGGUACUCGGUAGGAAGGGGUAAAAUCCUUUGAUCUAUUGAUGACCACCUGUGGCGAAGGCGGUCUACCAGAACACGUUCGACGGUGAGGGAUGAAAGCUGGGGGAGCAAACCGGAUUAGAUACCUGGUUAGUCCCAGCUGUAAACUAUGCAAACUCAGUGAUGCAUUGGCUUGUGGCCAAUGCAGUGCUGCAGGGAAGCCGUUAAGUUUGCCGCCUGGAAGUACGUACGCAAGUAUGAAACUUAA
rnacentral:rRNA from 1 species